rnacentral:rRNA from 1 species
CGGGUGGUAAUGCCGGAUGCUCCGACUCCUCGCAUGGGGUGUCGGGAAAGAUUUCAUCGGUAUGGGAUGGGGUCGCGUCCUAUCAGGUAGUCGGCGGGGUAACGGCCCACCGAGCCUACGACGGGUAGCCGGCCUGAGAGGGCGACCGGCCACAUUGGGACUGAGAUACGGCCCAGACUCCUACGGGAGGCAGCAGUGGGGAAUAUUGCACAAUGGGCGCAAGCCUGAUGCAGCGACGCCGCGUGCGGGAUGACGGCCUUCGGGUUGUAAACCGCUUUUGAUCGGGAGCAAGCCUUCGGGUGAGUGUACCUUUCGAAUAAGCACCGGCUAACUACGUGCCAGCAGCCGCGGUAAUACGUAGGGUGCAAGCGUUAUCCGGAAUUAUUGGGCGUAAAGGGCUCGUAGGCGGUUCGUCGCGUCCGGUGUGAAAGUCCAUCGCUUAACGGUGGAUCUGCGCCGGGUACGGGCGGGCUGGAGUGCGGUAGGGGAGACUGGAAUUCCCGGUGUAACGGUGGAAUGU